GCAGGCGGGUCCCCGGCCGCCGAGGCAGGGCCGGCCCCACCCUCCCGGGCCGCGGGCUCCCGACCCCUCCCAGCGCCUCGAAGCCCCCAUCUCCUCCCCGCGUCCCCCAGCCCCUUCCCUCCACCCGGCCCUGGCCCUGUCCCUCCGGGCGUGGAACCCGGGCUCAUCCCGCCCCCGCCCCAGAGGGAAAACGCACGUGAACAAAGCGAAUCGGAGGAGGCAGGAACGACAGUAAAAGGAACGUGAUUGGACACAGCUUUGGGCUCUGUUGUUUCGAGUGCGCUAUUUUGUCCAUCCAAACAGAAGAUUAUGAAUGGAGAGCUACAUCCCAUGGGGUGGCAGAUGAAGAUGUGCAAGAAGAAGACACUAACAACUGAAUUGCAGAUUGAGGAGAUGAGAUUAUGGUGACAGAAUCCAUCUUCGGUGUAUGUGCAUGAAGAAAUAAGCCAAAUCUACAUCUAUAAAACCGCGGGAAGGAAUGAGAUAAUAAUCAGUUGCAGGUCUGCUUAGAUUUUAAUCGUUUAGUGUAGUUCGUGGCAGGGUCUGAUACCCUAUUUCAAUAGUGGAGAGAAUUAGAAAGCAUUUUCUUUUUUCAUAUCUACUAUUAUUGGUUAUAUAAAAGAAGUAUCAAAUAGUUUCUGCUUUCAUGGAAUAUACUGUCCAGUCGCAAAGGAAAGAAGAUGGAGAGAUGAUUAAAAAAAAAAAAAAGAACAAACAGCUUCCAUUAUUCUAGCAAUGCCCACACACCCCUAUUGUUUGAGCAGAGAAAACGCUGACAGGGGACUGGCCAGGUAAGGAGGAACAGACCACGUGGCCAUUAUGCUCUUGCCUUCCCACCUGAAACUUCUGUCUCCUUAUGGCUCUCCCUGAGUAAUACAUAUAUUUAUAUAUGACUACGUAUCUCUUACUGUGGUUCCAACUUGGAUGCAAACCUCUCCCCUUGGUCUCCUUAACACAACUAUAUAAGGCUGCAUUUAUCCAAAUGAUUUAACAUGAGGGAUUCCAGGUCUUGGAGACUCAGUCCCAUCUUGCAUUCUGUCUUGAAGGUAUUUCCAGUCCCUCCCCACUACCCACACAAAAAAAGUAAAAUAUUCUAGGCAUAUUCCUGGCCAGCUUCCUUCCUGCUCCCUAUAGGUCUUCUUAUACAAGGAUUCUGCUACUUCUCACUAGUUAAGGCCAUUGUCCCAGUCUCCUUGCCAAAGAGGUCCAGGGCACAAAAAAAGUUUAAGAACUUCUGGACUUUAAAUACAUACUUGGCGGGGGGGUUCUCUAAUUCUGCAGGGGCUUAACCCCCAAAUAAAAUGAUCAGGCAAGACACUUAUCCCAUUUUGAAGCUGGGGUCCCCAGGAAUAAUUGUAGGUACUUCGGUGGUACCUGCAGGAUUGAAAGAAGGUACCAAAGCUUCACACUGAUCCCCACAAAUGGAGAGAUGGCUCCAAAACACAACUUAAUCAAGUGUUCCUUUUAUUUUAUUGGGAUAUAUUAGAUCAAAGUUAAAGGUCUAUGAAAAGAUUCAAUUGAGAAAGGGAAGCUCAAAGUACAAGAGAGGGGAAGAUUAAUUAAUAUUGAAUGUAAAUUCCUAAAACCACCUGGAGGGAUGGGAGCAGAGCUCAGGGAGGGGGAUGAGACUGUACAGGAGGAGCCCAGCUCUUCUUCCAGCAGCAGGGAAGACGGGGCAGAUGCCAGUGGGCUGCAUGUUUGGUGUCAGGAGAAUGAGGGAUUCCCAUCUGACGGCAUCUACUUUCUCUGACAAGAAGGAGGCAAGAUCAUUUAUUGAGAGUCAGAAUGAGAGAGAUAGAGAAAAAAAUAAAACUCACUUUAAAGUGCAAAUAUCAAUAUACAAUUGAUUUAAAGAAUAGAGUUUUCAGUCUAUUCUUCCAAACCUCUAAGAAAGAUAUUCUUCUUGCAUUGCAGUUGAGAGAACUGGGGCUGAUAAUUCAAUUAACUUCCUUUUCCCUAAGAUUUCCCAGUUGGAAAGAGAAAAAGCUAGCACUUUUUUGUUUGGCAUUUUGUUUUGUUUUGUUUUUGAGACAGGGUCUCACGCUUACCCAGCCGGAGAGCAAUGGCAUGAUCAAAGCUCACUGCAGCCUCGAGCUCCUGGGCUCAAGUGAUCCUCCUGCCUCUGCCUCCCAAGCAGAUGGAACUACAGACAUGUGCCCCAACCCUCGGCUAAUUUUUUGUAUGUGCCUAUUUUAGUAGAGGUGGGAUUUCACCAUGUUGUCCAGGCUGGUCUAGAACUCCUGGCCUCAAGAGAUCCACCCGCCUUGGUCUCCCAAAAGGUUAGGAUUACAGGCGUGAGCCACCACGCCUGGCUUACUAAUUUUUUAAUUUUUAUUUUUGUAGAUGGGGGUCUCACUAUAUUGCCCAGGCUGAUCUUGAACUCCUGGCCUCAAGCAAUCUUCCUGCCACAGGAUCCCAAAGUCCUUGAAUUACAGGUGUGAGCCAUCGCACCUGGCCAAAAAAGCCAGCAUUUAAACUCAGCUCCUCAGAGGGAAAAUCUAUUCUGGAUGUUGUAGAAAGUGCUUUAUUUGUUCACUUAAAAAAACUAAAGUUACUCAACUCAGGACAUUUGAAUGGAUACACGUUCUUUCACGCUUGUCUUUUUUUAAUUAAG
rnacentral:lncRNA from 10 species